GUCUUGGGAUAUGCGUGAGACCUCAGACAGCAGUCUGCCUGCUGGGUGGAGGUGGGGGGUCCAGGCCAGGAUGGGCUGACUGGCAAACAUUCCCAGACAUGUGGGCUUAAAGCCAUCCCUCACUGAUCCCUGCUAGCAGAUGAAUAUAUCGGAAGGUGAUGAGUACGAAGGAGCUUGGCUGCCAGCCAGGCGGUGUCGGAAAAGGAUGGGAAUUAUGUUGUUGUGAACCUAAAGCUGCUCCAGGAAAGUCUAUCGAAAAGUUAAAAACAUUUAAAUAAACAAAUAAAAGGAUGAGAAUGUUG
rnacentral:lncRNA from 1 species